rnacentral:rRNA from 1 species
UACAGAGGGUGCAAGCGUUGUUCGGAAUUAUUGGGCGUAAAGGGCGCGUAGGCGGUGCGGUAAGUCUGCGGUGAAAUCUCCCGGCUCAACUGGGAGGGUGCGCCGAAUACUGAGAGGCUAGAGUGUGGGAGAGGAAAGUGGAAUUCCUGGUGUAGCGGUGAAGUGCGUAGAUAUCAGGAGGAACACCGGUGGUGUAAACGGCUUUCUGGACCAUAACUGACGCUGAGGCACGAAAGCGUGGGUAGCAAACAGG